rnacentral:sRNA from 1 species
AAUGUCAGUAUUUAAACUCCUGGACCAUAUGUGGCUUCUCUUAGCAGAUUUUGCAAAGGAAACUUACUCCAGUAUGCAAGACUAAAUAUCGACAGUAUAUGGCAGGACUUCUGGCUCCUCCUUAUGGUGUUAUGGAAACGGGCUCUAACAAUGACAGGAUUCCUGACAAGGAGAACGUCCCUUCAGAGAAGAUCCUCAGAGCUGGAAAAAUUUUACGAAAUGCCAUUCUCUCUCGAGCACCUCACAUGAUAAGAGAUAGAAAAUACCACCUAAAGACAUACAGACAAUGCUGUGUGGGAACUGAGCUGGUGGACUGGAUGAUGCAGCAGACACCAUGUGUUCACUCCCGGACUCAAGCUGUUGGCAUGUGGCAAGUCCUGUUAGAAGAUGGUGUUCUCAACCACGUGGACCAGGAGCACCAUUUCCAAGACAAAUAUUUAUUCUAUCGAUUUCUGGAUGACGAGCACGAGGAUGCCCCUUUGCCUACUGAGGAGGAGAAGAAGGAGUGUGAUGAGGAGCUCCAGGACACCAUGCUGCUACUGUCACAGAUGGGCCCCGACGCCCACAUGAGGAUGAUCCUCCGCAAACCACCUGGCCAGAGGACUGUGGAUGACCUAGAGAUUAUCUAUGAGGAGCUUCUUCAUAUUAAAGCCUUAUCCCAUCUUUCUACCACAGUGAAACGAGAGUUAGCAGGUGUUCUCAUUUUUGAGUCUCACGCCAAAGGAGGGACUGUGUUGUUUAACCAGGGGGAAGAAGGUACCUCCUGGUACAUUAUUCUAAAAGGAUCAGUGAAUGUAGUCAUUUACGGCAAGGGUGUGGUCUGCACCCUGCAUGAAGGAGAUGACUUCGGCAAGUUAGCACUAGUGAAUGAUGCCCCACGAGCUGCCUCUAUCGUCUUACGAGAAGAUAACUGCCAUUUCUUAAGAGUAGACAAGGAGGAUUUCAACCGGAUCCUGAGGGACGUGGAGGCGAAUACAGUCAGACUUAAAGAACAUGACCAAGAUGUCUUGGUGCUGGAGAAGGUCCCAGCAGGGAACAGAGCUUCUAAUCAAGGAAACUCACAGCCUCAGCAAAA